rnacentral:rRNA from 1 species
UACAGAGGUCCCGAGCGUUGUUCGGAUUCACUGGGCGUAAAGGGUGCGUAGGCCGCACGGUAAGUCAGAGGUGAAAUCCCGGAGCUCAACUUCGGAAUUGCCUCCGAUACUGCCGUGCUUGAGGACUGGAGAGGAGAUUGGAAUUCACAGUGGAGCAGUGAAAUGCGUAGAUAUUGUGAGGAACACUAGUGGCGAAGGCGAAUCUCUGGACAGUUCCUGACGCUGAGGCACGAAGGCCAGGGGAGCAAACGGG